GGGACCGUUUAAAAAAUCUGAAAGCGUCUUCAGCUGAUAUAUCCAGUGACUGUUCCUCAUUCAAUAAAAAAAAAAACAUUCAAAAGAAGGAGAGAUGAAAUGAAAUAGAUGCGCUGGCCCCUUUAAUUUCUGCGUGUCCGUCUGCACGGAGAGGGCCCCGCUCGGAGAGGCUUGACGCGCGGUCUGCUUCGCCUUCUGCGGCGUUCUCUUUGAGGCUCCCGUCCCCCAGACGCGCCCGACAGGCUGAACUCGAUGUGGGCUGCUCACCAGACUGCGAAAUUCAUUCAUCUGUGCCUUCAGACGGCCAAAUCUGGAUCUAAUAACGGGACCUGGCUAUUGAUCCAACUCUCUGAGAGGGUGUGAUUGCACGGAGCGGUCACUAGAGGGCUCUAUGCUCUAGGCUAGCGGCUGUUCCUAAGCCUGCACGCUUUGCCAUUCAGUUUAAAAAUAUAAGACCCUGCCCACAGUUUUUCACAAAGCCAGAGGACCUGUCUUUGUAGACCAUAACAAACAAACACUGUUCAAACUUUGUGGUAGCCUGCUGAUCUUGGGGCUCCAGGACUUCCACUUUACAUUGCACUUCACAUGCAUCAACCAGGACUUGAUGAAAUGAAAGGCAGGACGGCCCCGCAGGAGUCGCUAUGGAGACAGGAUCGCUGUCCUGGGGCUGUCACGACGUGGCGCUCAACACGAAACAUCUGGACCCCUUUUCGCGAUGUUCCGAAGCCACAAGGAGCCGAGGAUGUUUGCCUGAUUUAAGAGGCCUGUUUAGAGCUGUUUGGACAACUCGCUGCAUGGAUUAGUGCCUUAAUUAAAGAUAAUAUCAACUCGUAAUAUCUCUCCCACAGAAUUCCCUUUCACACAAUGUAACAGUCUAAGCUCUCUGGGAGGCUGACCCCCGGGUACUUGACCUGAACCAGCCAAUGGGGGGCAAGUUGUCACCAUCACCAACUCUCAAAAUUCCAAAGCUGAGGGCCAAGUUAUAAUGUUCAGAGUGCAUUUUGUGUGAAACCACACAACGUGAAAAUGCAGCCUAAUGUAUGGUCAAAAUGGAGUAAACUACGCCUUAGAUCUAAAUUAUAGAUUGUACACUGACCAGUGCACUGCUUAGUUUGCUUUGCAUGAAUAUCUGGAGAUGUGGUUACAUACAUUACCCUAUGUGGUUUUCCACAUCUAUCUUAGACACCUUCCUCCAUGCCUCUCCUGGCCCACCAGUGGAUCCUAAUACACAGCAUGACAAACACUGACAUUACAAGUGCAGCAACAUUUAUAGGGCACAUUUAGCAGGCUACACUUAAUCACAUUUGGACUCAUGUAAACUAUAAACUUACACUGAAUAUGCUACAAUAGACCGGCUGAGUUGUUGGAACACUCUGAAGCCAGUUUCAGUUUAGAUAAGGCAGUUAUUCAUAUUAGUUCAAAGUUUCUGGCAGGGUAGUAGACCUGCAAUGGACAAAUCCGUUGAGAAAAAUAUAAAGGAGAUUCUACUUCCAUGACAUAGCUUACUUUUACCAACGUGAAGUUCCAACAAAAAUAUUUACACUAAGGCUCUCAAUUACUGAUGGAUAGAGGAGAGCAGGGAAAAAACUCUUCCUUUUUUGAGGUCUAUAUCUAGCCUGGUGAUCAGAAGUUGAUAGUGUCAUAAAGUAUUAUAUCCUCACUUUAUUCACGGCAACACAGCUUUAAUCUAAAAAUACCCCAGCAAGAAAGAGAGGUCUCAGCACAAAGAUUAGGCUUCUACCUCUCAAAGCGAACAGCCAGGAUACUCAGGUCCCAAAAUAAACCGACUCCUCAUAAAGGGCUCCUUCUUUGUAGUCUGUGUAGAAACAUCUGUGGGGCAGUCUCUUAUGGGGAAAGAUUCAGGCAACGUAUCAAAGCGAAACCCCGACGAUUCUCCUGAAAGAGCAGAGUGGGAGGAGAACUCUUUCUUCCUCAGAACGCAGAAAAGAAAACCUACAGCAAACAGAGCCGGUGCUAAUAAAAAUCUAUUAAUAUGAGCUGUCGGACAUAUAUCUUCAAAUAUAACCCAAAAAAGAGUGGUGCUCAGAUAAGGCUUCAAGGUUCGUCCUCACUUGCAAAGCGAAGAGUCUUGGGCCAAGGUCACUUAAUUACACUAAAAUACUUGAACAUAGUGACAUUUAAAAGCAUGAAAUUACUAUUUAGAUGACAACAGUAUUCCCACAUUGAUGUGAAGAGUAUUCCCACACUGAUGUCUUGUAAAGAGGUGAGAUCUCGAUGGUCAGAGAUCAGACUGCAUGGUUGUUCUUAAAAGUAUUUAUUUAUUUAUUUAUUUAUUUAU